GAACUUAAGCAUAUCAAUAAGCGGAGGAAAAGAAACCAACAGGGAUUGCCUCAGUAACGGCGAGUGAAGCGGCAACAGCUCAAAUUUGAAAUCUGGCUCUUUCAGGGUCCGAGUUGUAAUUUGUAGAAGAUGCUUUGGGUGUAGCUCCGGUCUAAGUUCCUUGGAACAGGACGUCAUAGAGGGUGAGAAUCCCGUAUGUGACUGGGUGCUUUCGCUCGUGUAAAGCUCUUUCGACGAGUCGAGUUGUUUGGGAAUGCAGCUCAAAAUGGGUGGUAAAUUUCAUCUAAAGCUAAAUAUUGGCCAGAGACCGAUAGCGCACAAGUAGAGUGAUCGAAAGAUGAAAAGCACUUUGGAAAGAGAGUUAAACAGUACGUGAAAUUGUUGAAAGGGAAGCGCUUGCAACCAGACUUGCGCGCUGUUGAUCAUCCGAGCUUUUGCCCGGUGCACUCGGCAGCGUUCAGGCCAGCAUCGGUUUUGGUGGGCGGAUAAAGGCCUUGGGAAUGUAGCUUCUUUCGGGGAGUGUUAUAGCCCUCGGUGCAAUGCGCCCUACCGGGACCGAGGACCGCGCUUCGGCUAGGAUGCUGGCGUAAUGGUUGUAAGCGACCCGUCUUGAAACGCGGACCAAGGAGUCUAACAUCUAUGCGAGUGUUUGGGUGUCAAACCCAUACGCGUAAUGAAAGUGAACGGAGGUGAGAACCCUUAAGGGUGCAUCAUCGACCGAUCCUGAUGUCUUCGGAUGGAUUUGAGUAAGAGCAUAGCUGUUGGGACCCGAAA
rnacentral:rRNA from 1 species